rnacentral:ncRNA from 3 species
ACCACCCCCAACCCCCUCCUCUGAAGAGGAGGGGGCUAUCGGUAUCUUGCUCCCCCUCCUCUUCAGAGGAGGGGGUUGGGGGGUGG